rnacentral:rRNA from 1 species
UGAGUACAGCGGCGCACGGGUGAGUAACACGUGGGUAAUCUGCCCUAGAGUGGGGAAUAACACCGGGAAACCGGUGCUAAUACCGCAUACGAUCACGAUGUCUGCGGACGUUGUGAUGAAAGGAGCAAUUCGCUCUUGGAGGAGCCCGCGGCUGAUUAGCUAGUUGGUAAGGUAAUGGCUUACCAAGGCUACGAUCAGUAUCCGGUCUGAGAGGACGGUCGGACACACUGGAACUGAGACACGGUCCAGACUCCUACGGGAGGCAGCAGUGGGGAAUUUUUCGCAAUGGGGGCAACCCUGACGAAGCAACGCCGCGUGGGUGAUGGAGUAUCUCGGUACGUAAAACCCUUUCGACGGGGAAGAAAACCGCAAGGUUUGACGGUACCCGUAGAAGAAGCCCCGGCUAACUCCGUGCCAGCAGCCGCGGUAAUACGGGGGGGGCAAGCGUUGUUCGGAAUUACUGGGCGUAAAGGGCGCGUAGGCGGUUUGCUAAGUUGAAUGUGAAAACUCUGGGCUUAACCCAGAGCCUGCAUUCAAUACUGGCAGGCUAGAGUUCUGGAGGGGAUAGCGGAAUUCCUGGUGUAGCGGUGAAAUGCGUAGAUAUCAGGAGGAACACCGGUGGCGAAGGCGGCUAUCUGGACAGAGUCUGACGCUGAGGCGCGAAAGCUAGGGGAGCAAACAGGAUUAGAUACCCUGGUAGUCCUAGCCCUAAACGAUGGAUACUUGCUGU